rnacentral:lncRNA from 1 species
CGACAUGUUAAAGUAAACUUUUUAGUUAAGAGUUAAACACUUGAACUAAUGUAGAUUUUUUUUUUCUUAUGUCCUAUUUUUUCUCACAAACAUUGUUGAUUAAUAUUCUUAUCUCCAGUUCUCUAAAAGGAUAGGAAAUAUUGAUUAGUGUUUCAAAGGAAGUUUGUAUGUUUCAAGUAAUUAAAUAAGUUGACCUACC